GGCGGGCCUCCUCGCAUUGCAUAGUAGUGAAUCUGGUCAGGUCCGGAAGGAAGCAGCCACAGCUAUGUCCUGCAAGUGCCGGGGGUCUGGCUCGCCACC
rnacentral:SRP_RNA from 1 species